ACCUCUAAUGAGCUGCUAACCAAGCAGUUACUAGGCAUGUGUGAGCCAAAUUGGUGGGUCAAGAAGUCCCUUAAAACAAUCGCUGUCUCGAGAGACUAGAAGAUAAAAGCAGUUUCUAGGAGUGUCUUCUCCUUCCAGGUUUUUCAACUUGGGCUUUUUAGAUAUUUUUUGACUGCUUCCUUGCACAUGGGCAAGCACUGCUGUACUCCCUGCUGUCCGCCCAGUGCCUCCACAGAGCCCUCCGAGCUCUGCAAUAUGGAUGCGUGCAUACAAGGCCCCACUAGAGACAGCCCUCACCUUGAACCUAGAGAUGCAGAGACUGUAGACCACGCCAGUGCUUCAUUUGUCCAUUGUGUACAUAAUGCUUCUUCAUCAAAGAUAGCUGUUGUCCCUACACAACCAAUACUGGGGGAAAAAGGGGAGUGAGAGCGAGUGAUGCAAGUAUGACUGAAUAGCAGUCGAGUACAGCUAGCUAAUUGCAGCUUCAUGUAAUCUCUUUCAUAGCUGUUAUCAUAACUGUAUAUAUUUCCAGCCCAAUUCGUCUAUCUUUUCCGGCCUCCUGUCUUUGCAGCUGCCUCCUCUUCUCUCCUUCCUGAUGGCUGCAAAUCUCUGCUUUUCACCCGUUUUCAUGCUGUGUUUUGUCUGUCUCUUUGUGUUCAUCCCUGUAUCGGCUUCUUGGCUGCAUGUGGCAGUUUCUUAUUUCCUGGACCUUGUGAGAGUCUUCAGUCCGAGCUGUUUGCUUCAGUUAGCAUGUGCAACCUCUCGUAUUAUUUUGCUUUUAUGGGUGAUUUAAUUUUACACAUGUUUACACCGAGGAGUAGUUUUGCAAACUAAAUUCGUCAGUACAGAUGUGCAAUUGCUAUGUGAGGCAGUAAGAAUUAAGACAAUUAUUUAUUUAUCAAAUUUCUUUUUGUAUGAAUGUAUCCAUCCACCACAUGAAUUUUUCAUGCAAGCUCAUCUUGAAAAAACCAUUCCCUCCUCCCGGGAAGGAUUUGAACUCUUUGGGGAAUUCCCCCAAAUUCUUGUUGUUUUUUUUUCUUUAAUUGAACUCCGCCAUGUAAGGAGAGCUCCGUCUACAAUAUUGAUUGCGGAAAAACACGCAGACCUGUCAAUCUCUCUUUUCCCAAGGCAAAACUCUCUUAUUGUCCUUUUCUGCCAGGGUAUAAUCUCCCCAAAGACAGACUUCAAACAGUUAAGCUUCUUUCCAUUGUAUUGGGACUAUGUGUAGUGCUCCACUUUACAUUCACAUUUAACAGGUUUCAAGCUUCAGUGAUAAACCGGCAACGUUUCUCCUUCAUGACAGCUGUUUGACAGCAUUUGAAAAUGGAUAAAAAAUGGAAAAUUACCCUACUGAGGAAACAUCCCCUUCUCUUCGUAACUCAGGCUGGGACAUGGCAGGAAUGAAAUAACGCGCUUAUUACAUUCCGCACACCGAAUGCAAAAUGCAUUGCCACCCUCUAUUCCACUUGAUUUGAUAAUCUAGUACAAUUUAGGUCCCUUACAAAUUAAAUUGUUCGGAAACUUGGUUCGCUGCCUAAACUCUGUGCUAGAUUGUGCUACUUAAUGACGCUUUUCUUUCUUUUGGUGUUUUAUCUUUGGGGUAAAUAAUUCAGCCAAAUAAACCCUGUGAUCUGCAAGGUUAAUUGACACCCACGUUAAUUCACAGCUUGCGUGCAGCACCCACAUUUGUCCGUUCUGCACAGAGUCCUGGAGCAUCACCUGAUCUCUGUCCUCCAUGGCUCACUGGAAAAGUUCUUACAUUGCCAGAAGCUCUGGUCGUUGAAAAUACCACUUUUGCUGCCGUGUGGGCAAGGUCUGAGCUCCACAUGCUUUCCCUCAAGUAGUUACUCAACUGAUUGCUGGGAAAAUCUUAGGAUAAAUGCACCUAGAUCUAUUUCUUUUAUUGGAAAUCUAUUUCUAUUAUUGGAAAAAAGAAGAAUGGAAAAAAUGCUAUAAAAAUAUACAAGCGCAUUAUUUGGGGGUUAUAUUCACAGGUGACACAUCUGGAUGAAUGUAUUCUUAUUUGUUAUUAAAUCGUUGAGGUGGUCUCCCUCCCCACACCUGACGUUUAUUGGAAAAAAGAAAAAGUAAUUGAAAAGGAUUUGGCCAGU
rnacentral:lncRNA from 7 species